rnacentral:lncRNA from 1 species
GAUAUGUCCGUUCCCAGGCAACGGACUAGCUCUGCUGCCUCGCUUGCUGCAUCCUCGAUCUCCUUCUGGAACGCGACUCUCAGGCUAGGUGGCGCCUAGACAGGGUGAGUAGAAGAAGCAUGUCACAUGAAAUUUGAUUAAUUUUGUUUUUUUGCUUUGGACUAAUCAAUGCUACUGACUAGGUUCAUAUGUCUUGUCUUAGCAGAAUAUAUCUAUCAUGAAACAGCUCAUGAGUAGAGAUAUGAUUCUUUGGAGAAUAAUCAGAAAGGUAUGUAUCAAUAUUCAACAAUAUGCAUAUAUGUGCUGAUUCUUUCCAAACUUUUCUGCUGUUUCAGUGAAGAAAACACUAAGAGUCUAGUAUAAAUGAUGCAUAUAAAACAGAUUCUGUAGCCCACAAGCACUAGGUUCACAUAGUUGUUUGUGCAGUUGAAUUAAUACAGAGAAACGGUGGCUGAUAAGCAUACAGACCUGAAUUUCUGAAUGUAGAACACCAUGAAGAGCCAUGACCUCAUAGGUACAAUAUCUGAGGACUGCACCAACCUUGACAUAUUCUGACCAUGGAUAAAAGAUGUGCAUAAACCUACCAUGGGGGGCUCCCAUUUCGCCGAACUUGCCUGAAAUAAACAAUAAAAAUAAAUAAAAUGAAAUAUGCUUUCUUUCUGUGUUGAAUGACAGCAUAAAGAUAGUAGUAAGUAGUACCAGGGAUUCUAGUUUAGCUGAGGAGUUCAAUGUGGAUCGACACUUUCGAUAUGCAGGUUCAUCAGGGAAGUCAUCCAUCACAGUCUUUGUAAACUCGGGAUGUUCGGAUCCAUCGUCCUUCAAAUACUUCCCCACACACUCUGAAGAAAAUCACCAAGUGAAAUGAGAAAACAAUGAUCAUUAAAC